GACAGAGGUGCCGAGCGUUAGGCGGAAUCACUGGGCUUAAAGCGUGUGUAGGCGGACUUCUAAGUACCUUGUGAAAUCCCACGGCUCAACCGUGGAACUGCUUGGUAUACUGGUUGUCUUGAGCCACUUAGGGGCAGUCGGAACAGACGGUGGAGCGGUGAAAUGCGCAGAUAUCAGGAAGAACACCCGUGGCGAAGGCGGCUCUCUGGGACGGUACUGACGCUGAGACGCGAAAGCGUGGGGAGCGAACAGG
rnacentral:rRNA from 1 species